rnacentral:rRNA from 1 species
UACGUAGGGUGCAAGCGUUAUCCGGAAUUAUUGGGCGUAAAGAGCUCGUAGGCGGUGUGUCGCGUCGGCCGUGAAAACCUGCAGCUUAACUGUGGGCUUGCGGUCGAUACGGGCAUCACUGGAGUUCGGCAGGGGAGACUGGAAUUCCUGGUGUAGCGGUGAAAUGCGCAGAUAUCAGGAGGAACACCGGUGGCGAAGGCGGGGUCUCUGGGCCGAUACUGACGCUGAGGAGCGAAAGCGUGGGGAGCGAACAGG